UACGAAGGGUGCUAGCGUUGUUCGGAAUCACUGGGCGUAAAGCGCACGUAGGCGGAUUGAUAAGUCAGGGGUGAAAGCCCGAGGCUCAACCUCGGAAUUGCCUUUGAUACUGUCAAUCUCGAGUCCGGGAGAGGUGAGUGGAAUUCCUAGUGUAGAGGUGAAAUUCGUAGAUAUUAGGAAGAACACCAGUGGCGAAGGCGGCUCACUGGCCCUGUACUGACGCUGAGGUGCGAAAGCGUGGGGAGCAGACAGG
rnacentral:rRNA from 1 species